AUACAUGUAUAUGUGAAUAUACACGUGUCUAUCAUAAUAUCAUCCGUUGUUUUAUAUUUUUGUGUAUAUCUCAAAGCAUAUUCAAGAUUUUUAUACCGUGGUACCUAAAUAUAAUUUAUUUAUGUUCCAAACAGUGUCUACACCAUCAUGAAUAAGCUGUGGCUGAAAACCAUUUGAUAAUGAAGCAGUAGAGCUGACAACGAUAUUCAGUCAUUGCCUGUUUUUUGUUUUGUUUUGUUUUGUUUUGUUUUGUUCUGUUUGAUGCUUUUAAAACUGCUGUCUAGGGUCGGAAUUGCAACUUGCUCCGGAGGGCACGGGCUCCGUAGGCACCAAUUGCAAGGACCCCUCCCCCUGCGGGUGCUCCCAUGGCACAAUUCGCGUUCGAGAGUGACCUGCACUCGCUUCUUCAGUUGGAUGCACCCAUCCCCAGUGCACCCCCUACGCGCUGGCAGCGCAAAGCCAAGGAAGCCACAGGCCCGGCCCCCUCACCCAUGCGGGCCGCCAACCGAUCCCACAGCGCCGGCAGGACUCCGGGCCGAACUCCUGGCAAAUCCAGUUCCAAGGUUCAGACCACUCCUAGCAAACCUGGUGAUGACCGCUAUAUCCCCCAUCGCAGUGCUGCCCAGAUGGAGGUGGCCAGCUUCCUCCUGAGCAAGGAGAACCAGCCUGAAAACCGCCAGACGCCCACCAAGAAGGAACAUCAGAAAGCCUGGGCUUUGAAUCUGAACGGUUUUGAUGUAGAGGAAGCCAAGAUCCUUCGGCUCAGUGGAAAACCACAAAAUGCACCAGUGGUUACCAGAACAGACUGAAAGUACUCUACAGCCAAAAGGCCACUCCUGGCUCCAGCCGGAAGACCUGCCGUUACAUUCCUUCCCUGCCAGACCAUAUCCUGGAUGCCCCUGAAAUCCGAAAUGACUACUACCUGAACCUUGUGGACUGGAGCUCUGGGAAUGUACUGGCCAUGGCACUGGACAACAGUGUGUACCUGUGGAGUGCAAGCUCUGGUGACAUCCUGCACCUUUUGCAAAUGGAGCAGCCUGGGGAAUAUGUAUCCUCUGUGGCCUGGAUCAAAGAGGGCAACUACUUGGCUGUGGGCAUCAGCAGUGCUGAGGUGCAGCUAUGGGAUGUGCAGCAGCAGAAAUGGCUUCGAAAUAUGACCAGUCACUCUGCCCGAGUGGGCUCCCUAAGCUGGAACAGCUAUAUCCUGUCCAGUGGUUCACAUUCUGGCCACAUCCACCACCAUGAUGUUCGGGUAGCAGAACAUCAUGUGGCCACACUGAGUGGCCACAGCCAGGAAGUGUGUGGGCUGCACUGGGCCCCAGAUGGAUGACAUUUGGCCAGUGGUGGCAAUCAUAACUUGGUCAAUGUGUGGCCUAGUGCUCUUGGAGAGGGUGGCUGGGUUCCUCUGCAGACAUUCACCCAGCAUCAAGGGGCUGUCAAGGCCGUAGCAUGGUGUCCCUGGCAGUCCAAUGUCCUGGCAACAGGAGGGUGCAGCAGUCAUCGACACAUUCGCAUCUAGAACGUGUGCUCUGGUGCUCGUCUGAGUGCCAUGGAUGCCCUUUCCCAGGUGUGCUCCAUCCUCUGGUCUCCCCACUACAAGGAGCUCAUCUCAGGCCAUGGCUUUGCACAGAACCAGCUGGUUAUUUGGAAGUACCCAACCAUGGCCAAGGUGGCUGAACUCAAAGGUCACACAUCCCGGGUCCUGAGUCUGACCAUGUGCCCAGAUGGGGCCACAGUGGCAUCCGCAGCAGCAGAUGAGACCCUGAGGCUAUGGCACUGUUUUGAGUUGGACCCUGCGUGGCGGCGGGAGCAGGAGAAGGCCAGUGCAGCCAAAAGCAGCCUCAUCCACCAAGGCAUCCGCUGAAGACCAACCCAUCACCUCAGUUGUUUUUUAUUUUUCUAAUAAAGUCAUGUCUCUCUUCAAAAAAAAAA